rnacentral:tRNA from 1 species
GCACCAGUAGCUUAAGUUAGAGCGCCGGCCUUGUAAGUCGGAGGUUGGAGGUUUGAUUCCUCCCUAGUGCU